rnacentral:rRNA from 1 species
GAUGAACGCUGGCGGCGUGCCUAAUACAUGCAAGUCGAGCGAAGCGGGGACGGGUGAGUAACACGUGGAUAACCUCCUAUAAGACUGGGAUAACUUCGGGAACCCGGAGGUAACCAGGACACUUCGAGGUGGAUCCGCGCUGCAUUAGCUAGUUGGUAAGGUAACGGCUUACCAAGGCAACGAUGCAUAGCCGACCUGAGAGGGUGGUCGGCCACACUGGAAAUGUGACAAGGUCCAGACUCCUACGGGAGGCAGCAGUAGGGAAUCUUCCGGAAUGGGCGAAAGCCUGACGGAGCAACGCCGCGUGAGUGAUGAAGGUCUUCGGAUCGUAAAACUCUGUUAGUAGGGAAGCGGUACCUAAUCAGAAAGCCACGGCUAACUACGUGCCAGCAGCCGCGGUAAUUC